AGAAUUAUAAAUAAUGUCACGGGUCUGGGUCGAAUCUGAUUUUCACGAGUAUAAUUUUAACUGACUUGUCUGUAGGGCGGUACAGAUCCGAACGUGACUGCUGCAGUUGAGAGAGAUUGAGAAAUGUGAUCAUUUAUGCUGCUGCUCUUGCUUUUCAGGAGAGUGGAACAUGGCGCAUGUAACUUGUUGUUGGUCAUAAGUCAUCAAAGCAGGAAUACCACAGUUUGAGUCAUAAUACCCGUAAACCACGGAAAUGGUUCCAAUCAAUUUUCCACCAUUCAUUUUUCGGUAGGGGUCAAGGGAAGAUAAUUUAACGUCGGCGGUUAUCGUCUGACUACACGAACGAUGAGCUAACGUUUAACUAGCGAGCUAAACGUUAGAUAAAUAUCCAUGCCCUGAUGGACUAACAUUGCCAAGUACGUCACCGCGUGGAAAAGUGACUAAUUUACACGAACGAUGGGCAGACCGGAAGCCCAGUGACAACACUCAGGUCUGUAGCUGCCAUUUUCCGGUGGGAAAGAGAAAUGGCCCUGUAUUUACCAGAAAAGGUAGCUCAUCCACCAUGGCAGAAGAGGAAGAUCCAGAUGGUUGAUUGGGAAACAAGAACAAACAAUGAGGCAUGAGGAUUGGUUGUUGAGGGACUGCUUGUCACAUUGUCCAAGUCCAACAGGAAUGCAUCUCUCAGACCAUCUGGGGCAUGGACAUCCUGUACCAGUCUGAUCCGAGCAGGAGUAUCCAUUUGUACAGCACAUCGAGCCUGUGGACGGACAGACAUGAGGUGUGACAUGUGGAACAUCAGGCACACCCCACGACAAGGAAUGCAUGAUCAACACCACUCUCAGCAAGGAGAUCUGCUGGAAGUGAUGUGCUCUCUCACUCUCACUCAUAAUUUUAACAUCACAAAUAUAAAUUCCCACUGAGCCCAUGAUAAAAUGCAAUGUGAAUUGUGUCGUACUUCUGAAUGAAACUGUGAGGAGAUGCACUCAGACCAGCCUUUGUGAUUGAACGUAUGUUAACCUCAUUACUUUAGUUGGCUGCUUUGAGCAAAACUUAAAUGUAAUAUAGCCUAUUCUAGGAGCCUAUUGUUUGUGUAUGAUCUUUAUUCAUUGUUCACUUGUUUUUCAACAAUAUCAAGUACGGGCAGGGAUGACUGGGGCCUUCAGCAAGUAAGACACGGGAUAAGAAAUAAUUUCAACAUCACAGAUAGAAAUUCCCACUGUGCCCAUAAUAAAGUUAACUACAUUA